CUGGGUGGCCGCCGGCUGGCCGCCAGGCAGCGCCCUACAGCUCCGGCCGGGCAUGUCUCAGCCUCAUUAUUCCCCUCACCAGAAAUGACCGGAGAAAGAGCUUCCUGCUAUGCUACUCCAGCCAAAUUAAUUACCAAUGGGGCACGGUUUAAGAUCAACUCAGAAUCAUCAAGGCAUUUUCUGCAGAGACUUGUAAAGAGGGGUAAAAUAAAGCCUCCACCUCUAAGGAACUUAUUUAUAAUCAAGGUGUCUUUUCGUUUCUGACAUUUCUCCCUCUGGACUCAGCAAGUUUUUGAAUUGCUGGUUCUCCUGCCAUGAGAACAUCCUUUGAGAGAGACCCUGGAGAUCUCAAGAGAUGUUAAUUAGUAGAAGUAAAUAAAUGGCCUGUUUA